GGAAAGAACUGGAGGAAUAGGAUUGGUAUC
rnacentral:piRNA from 1 species